GACGAAGGGGGCUAGCGUUGUUCGGGAUUACUGGGCGUAAAGCGCGUGUAGGCGGUUGCCCAAGUCGGGGGUGAAAGCCUUGAGCUCAACUCAAGAAGUGCACUCGGUACUGGGUGACUAGAGGACCGGAGAGGAUAGUGGAAUUCCCAGUGUAGUGGUGAAAUACGUAGAGAUUGGGAAGAACACCAGUGGCGAAGGCGGCUAUCUGGACGGUUUCUGACGCUAAGACGCGAAAGCGUGGGGAGCAAACGGG
rnacentral:rRNA from 1 species